GCACUGCUGAAGUCCCAUAAUAGGACGAAACGGCCGUCCAAUGC
rfam:Schistosoma curassoni strain Dakar, Senegal genome assembly, scaffold: SCTD_scaffold0007136